rnacentral:lncRNA from 1 species
UACUUUAUUUUUUUCUGAAUUUCUUGUUAAAUUCUCCGCCCCCGCUCCUAAUCCCCAAAAUUUCUCGAGAAAAAUCGAAGUGUUUUCUUGAGACAGGGACGGAAACCGGGAGUGCGGAUCGGAUUGGGGUUUGAUUAGAGCCCAAACAGGAAUCUAAGAACAAAGCAAGAAUUUGAGGAGAAAUUGAGAGAGAGAGAGAGAGGAAAAAGAAACGAGCAAUCGGCGGUUUGGUUUUUAUUUUUUGUUUUUGUUUUUGUUUUUUUUUUCCCCCUUUAAUUUUCGAUUAUUUUUAGUUUUGAAACAGAAGACCGGCAAAGUGUUGUGGACUCGUGGGUCCCCUGGUGGACACGUGGACGGUGACGAUGGGUCAAGAGAGCUGAGAUUGUGAUGGUCACAAAAGUUGUUAAAUCAAAAUAUUUUUGGUGGGAGCUGAAAAGGAA